CAAGGAAACAAGUAGUUGAAUCCUGAUUCAUACAGCUAUGUUAAUACCAGAGAAAAAAGAGGCCAUCACUAGUUCAGGAACAUGAAAAAUAAUCAUUACUCCAGGAUCUCUACUGUCAUUUCAAGAUUAACUUAUAUUGUUCUUGUGCUGUGAUAAACUAUCAACUUUUUUCCCAAAGUACACCACUGCAUUCCCGCAUAGGCUACGUUUCCCUUGGGAACAAUGGGUCCUGGUUGCUGUGGGUUUGGUGCAACAUGGCAGUCCGCAUCUCACACCAGAUCCUCUGGGAAAGAAAAGAACAGUGAACAGUUCUAAUUUUUUUCUCUUUGAAAAGGCUUGUGUUUGAUUUGAACUAUAUUUGUAUGAAUAUAAUAAACACAAGUUGAUGUGAAAAGAUAUUUCUCUU
rnacentral:lncRNA from 12 species